rnacentral:pre_miRNA from 14 species
UCUUCUGUUGGUUUGCCUCAUCCAACUUCAAUAUUGAAAGAUCCCUGAAGAGAGACCCUUACUCAAGUCUCGGGAAAUUGCAGACCCCAGACACAGAGAGACCA